rnacentral:rRNA from 1 species
GCAAGUCGAACGAGAAUUCCGAGCUUGCUCGGAAGGACAGUGGCAGACGGCUGAGUAACACGUGGGAACGUACCCUAAACUCAGGUAUAGCUCACCGAAAGGUGGGGUAAUCCCUGAUAUGUCUUCGGACGAAAGCUUUUGUGGUUUAGGAUCGGCCCGCGUCCUAUCAGGUUGUUGGUGGGGUAACUGCCUACCAAGCCUAUGACGGGUAGCUGGUCUGAGAGGAUGAUCAGCCAGACCGGGACUGCGAUACGGCCCAGACUCCUACGGGAGGCAGCAACUAGGAAUCGUGCACAAUGGACGAAAGUCUGAUGCCGCGACGCCGCGUGGUGGAUGAAGGUCUUCGGAUUGUAAACACCUUUUUUGGGGGAGCAAGUUCUGAGAGUACCUCAAGAAUAAGUGCCUGCUAACCACGUGCCAGAAGCAUCGGUAAUGCGUGGGGCACAAGCGUUAUCCGGAUUUACUGGGCGUAAAGAGAUGCGUAGGCGUCUUGGUAAGUCUGAUGUCAAAUCCCGAUGCUUAACAUCGGAACUGCAUUGGAAACUACCUUGAUUGAGUUAGGUAGAGAUGAGGGGAAUUCCUGGUGGAGCGGUUAAAUGCGUUGAUAUCAGGAGGAAUACCAAUUGCGGAGGCACCUCAUUGGACCUCAACUGACGCUAAGGCUCGAAAGCGUGGGUAGCAAAACGGAUUAGAUACCCGUGUAGUCCACGCCGUAAACGAUCCCUGCUAGAUAUUUGGC